rnacentral:rRNA from 1 species
UACGUAGGGUGCAAGCGUUGUCCGGAAUUAUUGGGCGUAAAGGGCUCGUAAGCGGUUUGUCGCGUCGGGAGUGAAAUCCACUGGCUUAACUGGUGGCUUGCUUUCGAUACGGGCAGACUGGAGGUAUGCAGGGGAGAACGGAAUUCCUGGUGUAGCGGUGAAAUGCACAGAUAUCAGGAGGAACACCGGUGGCGAAGGCGGUUCUCUGGGCAUGUCCUGACGCUGAGGAGCGAAAGUGUGGGGAGCGAACAGG